CACGGGGGGAGCAAGCGUUGUUCGGAUUUACUGGGCGUAAAGGGCGCGUAGGCGGCCACCGCAAGUCAAUUGUGAAAUCUCCGGGCUUAACUCGGAAAGGUCAACUGAUACUGCGGGGCUAGAGUGCGGAAGGGGCAACUGGAAUUCUCGGUGUAGCGGUGAAAUGCGUAGAUAUCGAGAGGAACACCUGCGGCGAAGGCGGGUUGCUGGGCCGACACUGACGCUGAUGCGCGAAAGCCAGGGGAGCGAACGGG
rnacentral:rRNA from 1 species